CUGUUGGAUCUGUGGAUGAGGAAGAGGAUCCUGCGGAGGAGGAUUGUCCUGAAUUGGUUCCCAUUGAGACGAAGCAAAGCGAGGAGGAGGAAAAGUCUGGCCUCGGCGCCAAGAUCCCAGUCACAAUUAUCACCGGGUAUUUAGGUGCUGGGAAGACAACACUUCUGAACUAUAUUUUGACAGAGCAACAUAGUAAAAGAGUAGCGGUCAUUUUAAAUGAAUUUGGGGAAGGAAGUGCGCUGGAGAAAUCCUUAGCUGUCAGCCAAGGUGGAGAGCUCUAUGAAGAGUGGCUGGAACUUAGAAAUGGUUGCCUCUGCUGUUCAGUGAAGGACAAUGGCCUUAGAGCUAUGGAGAAUUUGAUGCAGAAGAAGGGGAAAUUUGAUUACAUACUGUUAGAGACCACUGGAUUAGCAGAUCCUGGUGCAGUGGCUUCUAUGUUUUGGGUUGAUGCUGAAUUAGGGAGUGAUAUUUACCUUGAUGGUAUCAUAACUAUUGUGGAUUCAAAAUAUGGAUUAAAACAUUUAACAGAAGAGAAACCUGAUGGCCUUAUCAAUGAAGCUACUAGGCAAGUUGCUUUGGCAGAUAUCAUUCUCAUCAAUAAAACAGACUUGGUUCCAGAAGAAGAUGUAAAGAAAUUAAGAACGACAAUUAGGUACAAAAUGAUAAGUGUGUUAAGUGCCUACAGAUCCAUAUCGUAUACACAGAAUAUUUUUUACUCUGAUUGUUGCCCUGUAGAAACUUAAGGUAUAAGGUUGACCUGCUUCAAGAACAUUAGGGAAUCACAUAUAUUGUUGAUGGCUAAUUGUUAUAUAAAUGGUAAUACAUAAAAUUAGUCCCCAGUGCUUGCAGAAUGUAGUUCGCAGUUAAUAGACUGAUAUUCAGGGUCUUCUCACUCCAUCUUUCUUUUCCUGUCUUCUCUUUGACUCUUUCCUAAUGUCAGUCUUCCCUGACUUUACCUAGGAUGGUUAAUUCACUUUCCCAUGGAUGCAUCC
rnacentral:sRNA from 1 species